AUUUUCUUGGAUCUAAUUGUUUAUUAAUUAUGUUCCAUCCUUGAGCAACAAAAUCAACUCGAUAAUAAUAUCAAGGAUAAAAAAUCUAAGCGGUAAAUUUUAAAUGAACGGUAAUAAUAACUGAAAGCAAAAAGUAAAUUAAAAACUGUCUCCCUUCCCUUCUAAUACGAGUGCGAUUGCAAUUGGAAUGUAAGACGAUGAGCAGUAAUCCUCCAUUGAUUUAGAGAAGAAGAAAUAUCUCUUACUCAUCAUAUACAUACUUAGUAUUCGCUUUACGCACAAAUAAAAUCUCCGGAAUCAUUAACGUUCAUUCCCAAGAGGAACUGUGUGCGAUUCAACACAAUUUCAGCUUGCUCUGCUUUCAAUAAAUAAAAGAAAAGAAGAAAAGAAAAGAGGGAGAGCUCAAAUACACAAGUUCAAAUCUGCGGCUGCAAAUAC
rnacentral:lncRNA from 1 species